rnacentral:rRNA from 1 species
UACGAAGGGUGCAAGCGUUAAUCGGAAUUACUGGGCGUAAAGCGUGCGCAGGCGGUUUUAUAAGACAGGUGUGAAAUUCCCGGGCUCAAACUGGGAAUGGAAUUUGUGACUGUAAGACUAGAGUACGGUAGAGGGGGAUGGAAUUCCGCGUGUAGCAGUGAAAUGCGUAGAUAUGCGGAGGAACACCGAUGGCGAAGGCAAUCCCCGGGACCUGUACUGACGCUCAUGCACGAAAGCGUGGGGAGCAAACAGG